UGAAGAAAAUAUAAAACAUGAAAAUAACAAUCAGGAAAAUGCAUGUUGAGGCAUAUAAACUAUAUUUCUAUAUUUUAAUAAACUAUAAUUUGUAUUUUUAGAAAUAUUUUAUAAUAUAAACUCAUACAUAGAGUGUGAUAAUAGAAAACAAAAACUAAACACUAUUAGAAAUUAAAACAGGAUUGUUUAAAAAGAAAAACAUUCCAUAUAACUUUGGAAGGCACAGUCAAUGCUCUUUCGUAAAUGGAGAUGAGCCCCCCCACAACAGAAAAAAAGAAGCAAAUGAAGAAAAAAGAUGAGAGAAUGGGAAAAAUUGAAAGGAAGGAUGAGUUGUCUAUCAUCUAAUAGGAAUUGCUGGUAUAUAGAAAGGAGAAAUUGUGUGAGAAGACAUUAUUAAAGCAACAAAGGGGGGAUAAUAAAGUCUCUUUAAAAAUACACACACACAGGGGCACCUGGGUUGCUCAGUUGCUUAGGCCUCAGGCUCUUGAUUUAGGCUCAGGUUAUGAUCUCACAGUUUGUGGGAUGGGGCCCCAUGUCAGGGCACAGAGCCUGCUUGAGAUUCUCUCUCUCCCUUUCUCUCUCUGCCCCUCCCCCACUCCUGCGAGCUCUCUCUCUCUCUCAAAAUAAUAAAUAUUUUUAAAAAUGUUUAAAAAUAACACAUGCGCAUACACAGAAUUAAACUAUUAAAUAUAGGUCACGCGAUUCCAAGUCUUUUUUUUAAUGUUUUAUAUAUUUAUGAAAGUGAGCACAAGCAGGGGAGGGUCAGAGAGAGAGGAGGACAGAGGAUCUGAAACAGGCUCUGUCUUGACAGCAGUGAGCCUGAUGUGGGGCUCGAACUCACAAACCACAAGAUCAUGAACUGAGCCGAAGCCAGAGGCUCUACUGACUGAGCCACCUAGGAGCCCAUUCUACAUGUCUCUGAGGAAAGUUCUGCUUUACUUACAUUUGUUUUAUUAGAGUAGAAUUGAUAUACAAUACAAUAUUCUAUUAGUCUCCGGUAUGCAUCAUGG
rnacentral:lncRNA from 1 species